AGAGUUUGAUCAUGGCUCAGAACGAACGCUGGCGGCGUGCCUAACACAUGCAAGUCGCGCGCGAAUGGAGCAAUCCUAGUAGAGCGGCGAACGGGUGCGUAACACGUGGGUAAUCUGCCUGAGAGCCCGGAAUAACCUGCCGAAAGGCAAGCUAAUACCGGAUAAGCUCACGAGGUCUUCGGACCUCGAGAGAAAAGGUGGCCUCUGUACACAAGCUACCGCUUUCAGAUGAGCCCGCGGCCCAUCAGCUAGUUGGUGAGGUAACGGCUCACCAAGGCUAAGACGGGUAGCUGGUCUGAGAGGACGACCAGCCACACUGGAACUGAGACACGGUCCAGACACCUACGGGUGGCAGCAGUCGAGAAUUUUUCACAAUGGGCGCAAGCCUGAUGGAGCGACGCCGCGUGGGGGAUGAAUGGCUUCGGCCCGUAAACCCCUGUCAUUUGCGAGCAAUUCGCAUUAUUUAAAAGAUGAUGCGUUGAUAGUAGCGAAAGAGGAAGGGACGGCUAACUCUGUGCCAGCAGCCGCGGUAAUACAGAGGUCCCAAGCGUUGUUCGGAUUCACUGGGCGUAAAGGGUGCGUAGGUGGCGAGGUAAGUCGGAUGUGAAAGCUCGGAGCUCAACUCCGAAAUGGCAUUGGAAACUACCUUGCUCGAGGGUUGGAGGGGGGACUGGAAUGCUUGGUGUAGCAGUGAAAUGCGUAGAUAUCAAGCGGAACACCAGUGGCGAAGGCGAGUCCCUGGACAACUCCUGACACUGAGGCACGAAAGCUAGGGGAGCAAACAGGAUUAGAUACCCUAGUAGUCC
rnacentral:rRNA from 1 species